rnacentral:rRNA from 1 species
UACAGAGGGAGCGAGCGUUAUUCGGAAUUAUUGGGCGUAAAGGGCGCGUAGGCGGCCUGGUGUGUCCACGGUGAAAUCCCUCGGCUCAACCGAGGAAGUGCCGUGGAAACUGCCGGGCUCGAGGCCGGGAGAGGGUGGUGGAAUUCCCAGUGUAGCGGUGAAAUGCGUAGAUAUUGGGAGGAACACCGGUGGCGAAGGCGGCCACCUGGACCGGUUCUGACGCUGAGGCGCGAAAGCGUGGGGAGCAAACAGG